CGUGCAGGAUGAAGGCUUCGGGUUGUAACUGCUUUUGUACGGAACGAAAAGGCCCCUUCAAAUAAAGGGGGCCCAUGACGGUACCGUAAGAAUAAGCACCGGCUAACUACGUGCCAGCAGCCGCGGUAAUACGUAGGGUGCAAGCGUUAAUCGGAAUUACUGGGCGUAAAGCGUGCGCAGGCGGUUAUGUAAGACAGAUGUGAAAUCCCCGGGCUCAACCUGGGAAUUGCAUUAGUGACUGCAUAGCUUGAGUGCGGCAGAGGGGGAUGGAAUUCCGCGUGUAGCAGUGAAAUGCGUAGAUAUGCGGAGGAACACCGAUGGCGAAGCAAUCCCCUGGGCCUGCACUGACGCUCAUGCACGAAAGCGUGGGGAGCAACAGGAUUAGAUCCCUGGUAGUCCACGCCCUAACGAUGUCACUGGUUGUUGGGA
rnacentral:rRNA from 1 species